rnacentral:rRNA from 1 species
GUAGGUGGCAAGCGUUGUCCGGGAAUUAUUGGGGCGUAAAGCGCGCGCAGGCGGUUCGUUUAAGUCUGAUGUGAAAGCCCACGGGCUCAACCGUGGAGGGUCAUUGGAAACUGGAGAACUUGAGUACAGAAGAGGAAAGCGGAAUUCCACGUGUAGCGGUGAAAAUGCGUAGAGAUGUGGAGGAACACCAGUGGCGAAGGCGGCUUUCUGGUCUGUAACUGACGCUGAGGCGCGAAAGCGUGGGGAGCAAACAGGAUUAGAUACCCUGGUAGUCCACGCCGUAAACGAUGAGUGCUAAGUGUUAGGGGGGUUUCCGCCCCUUAGUGCUGCAGCUAACGCAUUAAGCACUCCGCCUGGGGAGUACGGCCGCAAAGGCUG